rnacentral:rRNA from 1 species
ACGAACGCUGGCGGCAGGCUUAACACAUGCAAGUCGAGCGCCCCGCAAGGGGAGCGGCAGACGGGUGAGUAACGCGUGGGAACGUACCUUUUGGUUCGGAACAACUCCGGGAAACUGGAGCUAACACCGGAUAAGCCCUAACGGGGAAAGAUUUAUCGCCGAAAGAUCGGCCCGCGUCUGAUUAGCUAGUUGGUGAGGUAACGGCUCACCAAGGCGACGAUCAGUAGCUGGUCUGAGAGGAUGAUCAGCCACACUGGGACUGAGACACGGCCCAGACUCCUACGGGAGGCAGCAGUGGGGAAUAUUGGACAAUGGGCGCAAGCCUGAUCCAGCCAUGCCGCGUGAGUGAUGAAGGCCUUAGGGUUGUAAAGCUCUUUUGUCCGGGAAGAUAAUGACUGUACCGGAAGAAUAAGCCCCGGCUAACUUCGUG